rnacentral:lncRNA from 1 species
CAGUGGCCGAUAUAUGGUACUGUUUCUCCCAUAGCCAAGAUUCAGGAGUCCAGGAAUCAAGGGGUGGAAAUGGAAGUGGCACGACUCACCAACACCCCUAGAGAUCCACUGGCAAAAUUUUUGCUUCCUGUUCCCAUGACAUUAUAUUUUGCUGGCCUAAAGGUCUUAGUUCCAGAGGGAGAAACACUGCCGCCAGGAGACACAACAACGAUUCCAUUCAAUUAGAAGUUAAGAUUGCCACUUGGACACUUUGGGCUUCUCCUACCUUGAAGUCAACAGGCUAAGAAGAGAGUUACUUGGCUGGGGCGAUUGACCCAGAUUAUCAAGAUGAAAUCAGUCUACUACUCCACAACUGAGAAUAUAAACCGGCAGAAAAAUGUGAAAAGAGACUGGCCUAGCCUCCCAGCCUACAUCUUUCUCCUGUGCUGGAUGCUUCCUGCCCUCAAACAUUGGACUCCAGAUUCUUUAGUUUUGGAACUCGGACUGUCUCUCCUUGCUCCUCGGCCUGCAGACGGGCUACUGUGGGACCUUGUGAUCGUACAAGUAAAUAGGAAACUCACAAUUUUUCCAGCAAAACUUGUAUGUGAAAAUAUAAGCAAAAUGAUAAAUGUGACUGGCCGACAAGCAAAAAACAUUGUUUACCAUCAAACAGCACCAAAACUUCUGGCUGUGUUAUUACCAAUUUGAAUGGACCUUUGCCGAAAGUCCCUGAAGCCAAGCCACACUGCUAACUGAUGAGAGACCAGCUUGAAAGAGGGAGGACCUGCCAAUUGCCAUCAGCACAACUCCAGAUAUAUGGGAGUCAGGCUUUAGGGCAAAAACCGGGGAUCACAGAAUGCUUGCUCAAUCAACUUUGCUCAUCCAAAAUCACAAAAAUCGCCUCAAAAAAUGUUGAUGAUAAUUUAAUUUUCUUCACUCUCCAUGAAGAUGUUAGAUAAUGCUCACUCUGGGUGAGAAUAAAAGC